rfam:Trichobilharzia regenti genome assembly, scaffold: TRE_scaffold0014670
AUCCAGCUGUCGAGUCCCAAAUAGGACGAAAUGCGCAUCCUGGAU